UGGAAGGAAGGAAAGUCCCGGGCUGGUGGAUGAGAUGAGGAGCUCUGUGCUGGCAGCUGGAGCAGCAGGGGUGUCCCGGCAGGGCUGGGCAGUGCAGGGCUACAGAGUAGCAGGGGAACCUCAAAGUUCUGAAUAAGCAGCGGCGGUGGGGGGAGAGGCUGGAGAAAGCGAGCUCAGGAUUCCCGGGUACACAGCAGAUGACGAUAGAUUUCCCAGGACGAGACAGAGGCAGAGGGCAGCCUGACCGUCCUCCUCGGCGCUGAGAGCAAGAGUGCCUCCCCCUUCCCCAGAUCUGUCUUUUUGCCUUUCCCAAAGCUCAUCAUCUCUCCCCUCUGAGGGACACUCCCAGGGACUCAUAAACAAUAGGUGUAGCCUCGUGCUGCCAUAUCCCUCAAGUACUCCUUUUGUUCUGACUAAGUAGUCAUCAAGGCUUCUUGGAAACUUAUGGGAAAAAAAUUCUGUGAGAAGAAAAAAAAACCAAAUCUAACCCCCAACAAGGGUAUUUACAGUGAAAUUACUCUUAGAACAGUCCUGGAAGUGAGCUUUGUCAGAAAACCAGAGACUUGUUUAUCUCCCAUUUUCUACAUUGAAAAGAUAAAAUCUGUAAGAGGGUGCAGGAGGACUUAUGUGUAUUAUGCUGUAAAGACAAUCAGAUGGAGAUACAAAGUGCUUCUGUGUAAGAGUCCCACAGCUGACUGAGUUUUCAUGGAGUAGUACCAGUUCUGAAUAAAGGGAAGGACCAAACACUGUUAUGGAUGACAAACUCUUUUGAAACUGAUCCCUAGCCAUGAUUUGUCUAAAUGUUAUUUUUACUCUGGUUUUGGUGAGGAGGGCUUUUCCAUGUGCUGCCUAAAAUGUCUUUAUUCUGAAUCAUGCUUGGAAAUAGGGCAGUUUAAAUACAAUUACAUAAUAGUUCAGGUAGAAAGGAACUUUAAAGGUCAUCUAGUCAGUCCAGCCCGCCUGCAGUAAGCAGGGACAUCUCCAACUAGAUCAGGUUGCUCCAAGCCCUGUCCCAUGUGACCUUGAAUGUUUCCACAGAUGAGGCAUCCAUAACCUCUCUGAGUAACCUGUUCCAGUUUAGUACCCUCCUGAUAAAAAAUAUUUUCCUUAUAUGUAAGGUAAAUCUACACUUUCUUGGUUUAAAACCAUUACCCCUUGUCUUAUCCCAACAGGCUCUGCUAAAAAGUCUGUCACCAUCAUUCUUGUAAGUCUCCUUUAGGUACUGGAAGGCUGUUACAAGGUCACCCUGGAGUCUUCUUUCAGGCUGAACAAUGCCCCCUCUCUCAGCCUUUCCUCAUUGGAAAGAUGCUGCAGCCCUCUGCUCAUCUUCACGGCCUUUCUCUGGACCAUUUCCAACAGAUCCAUGCCCUUCCUGUGCUGGACCCCAGAGCUGAUGCAGCCCUGCAGGUGGGGCUCAGCAGAGCAGAGCAGAGGGGCAGAAUCCCCUCCCUGGCCCUGCUGCCCACGGGGCUCUGGAUGCAGCCCAGGACACGUUUGGCUCUCUGGGCUGUGAGUGCCAUGGCUGGGACAUGUCCAGCCUCUCACCCACCAGCAGCCCAAAUGGUUUUUGCACAGGGCUGCUCUUGAUUUGUUAGUUCCCCAGCAUAUAUAUGCACAUACAUACACACACACACAUAUAUACACACACACAAUUGCCAAGGACAAUUACACUUGCUACUGAACUUUUGUAAUGUCUUUGUGCAUUCAGAAAUGGCAAGGAUUCUCAUUGUACAUAGCAUUUACGCCAUUGUACAAAAGUGUAUUUUUAUGAAUACGGUUUUAAUUUACAAACCACUCUAUUGACAGAAUAAUUGCGCUUCUUUCAUUUGCUUGCAAGUGAAAUAAAAUCAAUUUAUUGGCACCAGCAGAUUGGUGAUUUCACAGGAGAAUUUUUAGAAGCCUCCAUGAUCUAUUGCUGGUUUUGAACAUUAAGAAACUGAAGUUACAGCAGCCUACUGCAUGUCAUCUAUCCACCUCCUAUCUAGCUGCUCUCAAUUAUGAUGACUUGUCACCAUUCACUCCAUAAUUACAUUCUCAAGGUUAAUUCCAUUUCUGCUCCUGAUGUGUCCAAAGCACAUACAUUUACACCUAUUCAUUUCUGACAACCAAGUCUACUUUUCUCCCAUAAUGUAUUUAAUAUGUGCAUUUAUCAUCUUUUCUGUCCAGAAGAUGUCUUUGCUUGCACCAUAUCACAAAAGCUUCAAUUUUCUUUGUUGCAAUCAAUAAUUUCUCGAAAGUCACAUUCAUAAGUUGCUACAGCAAAAAAAUAGGCAUUUUACCAGUCAAAUCUUUCUAGUUCCAUGGUGAUUUUUUUUUCCAGGCUUUUAUAAGGGAAGCCAUGGGUGGAUCAACUAUUCUUCAAAAUUUUCCAGUUUCUAUUGGACAGGUUCUGAUUAGGUAAAUUUGAUCCCAAGUAAACUGAAUUUAUGAACAGUCUCUAGAGCCAGACCACUAAUCAUGAAGCUAGCUAAUACACAAUUUUUAAUAAUUAAGUAAAGUAAUUUUAUUUAUGGUAUACUCAAGAAUACCCUGUAUUUUUCAUUAGCUUUUUAUUGUCUCUCUAAUACUUGGUGUACAGCAGAUGUGAUUGAGACAGAGUGCUGUGUCAUCAGCUAGAGGUCAUUUAAAAGAAGUCAAUUUAAAACUCAACUUUUCCAUUCUGUGAAGUCCUUCUGAGAUUUUUUUUUUGUCCCAGCCAGGCUACAAGGAAAAUUGUGGUUACCUGUAGUUUUAAUAGUAGCUCAUGGCUCUUUCUAUUCACUUGGUAUUUUUUUUCAAGUAACAAGGCAGAUUUGGGGAAAUUCUGAGUGUUUAGGACUGCUUAGAGGAAAUACUACUAGGGGAAUUGGAAAAGUUUGGCAGUAUACUUAGCCCAUGGCAGCUGUUUCCUGGAGGCAAAACAAUGAGUCUCUCCCCCUUCCGCAUUAAAUAAGAACUGUCCUGUGAUCUAUUAAUAAAUAAGAACGUGUAGUACUAACAGGUUCUGAUUAGGAGGCUCAUUUGUGAAAAGUAUCGACUGUAUUUACGAUGCUGCUGUUGCUAAUUCUUCCAAUGGAUAUAACAUCUGCUGCUUGCAGUAAAGAAAAGAAUUAUAUGAAAUUUUACAAAUGAAUAUGAACUUGGAAUUUACCAUUAUGGUCAAGGAAAGAUGUUUGAUGACUGGACGUGCAGCCUCAGAGUUGUGCUGUAAUGACAGGGUCAUUGCACAUUGAUGGACAGGUUGUGUGCUGUACUCAGAGGCUUAAAGAAGGGUUGCAUUUGUCAAACACAGGGAAGCAUCAAAGUGUGUGGGUAUGACUGUAUGCACAACAGAAUCAUUAUAGUUUGCCUUUGAACAAAGUCAGGAAAUAUAUUGAUCAUAUAGGUUUAUGCAGUAGGGGAGCAACUAAUGAUGAUCCAGUCAAUGUGUUCUGUGAAGGGCUCAAGGGGAUAAUCAUUAAAACACUGCACCACUACACAUUCUGGAACCUGAGUAUGAAACCUGGAAUUUCAAACCCUCGUAAAGAACAAUUUGCAUUUGAAUUGACGAAAUAAAAUUACUUCUUUGGUUUGUGCUGCUCCAGUCAUUUCAUCCUUACAAUUCUACAUCAGUUAAUGCACUGGAUGUUUGCAUCCAGGUCGUCAGCCAGCAUGACAGUAGUAGCACACUGACAACAUAGUGAUCCAGCAGCAUGGAAUAUGGAGUAUCAGUGGAAGAAAAUAUUCCUAAAUUCAGGAUAUGUAGCAACAGAGAAGCUAAAUAGGGUUAUUUGAGCCAGUACCUGCAUGAGUGCUUGACAAAGCAGACACUGAACUGGUGUCUGAAGAGAGCACAGAAUAUCAAAUAUUGAGUAGACAAAGCCAGAAGUGGCCUAGAAAACGCACGGGCAAAUGGAGAAAUGGGAAAAGUACAGUCUUGACAAAUGCUUAGUAAUAUAAAAACUGUGUUAACAAUAUACAGAUUUUUAGCCAAAAAUUCUUCAUGAUGCAGUAUAAAAAGUCCACGAUGGAGGAGUGAUCAAUGAAGGUGAUACUAGUGCCAGCAGAGGGAUUACUGCUUGUAAAGUAGACUGGAUUUGUCCCUUGACCUGCUGCUGGGUGUGGGAAAUGGGAACUCAGGAAAAGAUAUGAAUGAACAGGAGAAAUGGGAUGAGCAAAGAUGAACACAUGUAAUUGAAAAUCUGCAGCUGGCUGGGCAGUAGGAGUUUCAUGUGAGCAAACAAAAUGCAGAGACAGAAGGUUAAAUAAAUAGCACUGAGUGAAUUAUGGGCCCAGAUCCAAAUGACACCACCUCUGCUCCAUCCUGAAUUGUGUGUAUCAGGUUGCAGAUACCAAUCUGAAUGUCAUGAGCUAGAGCAGGGUGGAGUGGAGCUUGUCUUAACAUAUGAUUCCCUCAUUCUUUGAACUUGGAAUUGUCACGAAUUUGACAGCUGCCUGAAGGCAGAUACCUGCAGAUUGGAAACCUGGAGAUUUUCUGUCGUGGGGCAGUUUUGUUCUUACCACUCUGGCUUUAUGAAUGAAUGGGGGCCAUUAAUGAUACUGUUCCAUGGAAAUGUCUUCUAUCUUCAUCAGCAGACAUCAGAUUUUUGUAAAAAACAGAGGAUCACAGCAGGACACCUCCAGCAAAUGUGCUCCUGAGGCUUUGUGCCCUGAUGGGAAAUGGCCGCAUGCAGAUGGAAGGGAGGUAUCUCAAGCCUAUGGGGCACAGCAAUCCAUCUCCUGAGAACUGGGUGUACAAGCAUGAAGUAGUGGAGACCCUGCCUAUCACCUUGCUGGGACGGGCAGGGAGACAGAGCUGACAAGGAUGCCUAUGGCACUGUAAUGAAAUCAUAUUCUCAGGCAUCAGCGAUGUAAUUCCUAUGUAAUUUUCCAACUACAUUUUAAAGUCCAUUUGGUGACCGUGAAAUUUCUCAGACCAAUGAACUUCUAUAAAAACUACAGGAAAGUUCUCCCAGUAAAAUCUUCUCAUCUUGAGUGUUGUUUGGCUUUUUUGUUUCUUUGUUUGGGUUUUUGUUAAAAUAAUUUUAA